rnacentral:lncRNA from 1 species
UGGGGCAGUUCUGGCUUGAGAUCUCCCCUGAGGCUGCAGUCAUCUGGAAGCUUGUCCAGGGUAAUUCACUGUCAGACUGUAAAGUGGGUGCUGACUGUUGGUGGGCACCUCAGCUCCGCUCCAGCCCAUGGAGAUGCUUGAGUGCCUUCCUAUCAUAGUGGCUGGCUUCCCCAGAGUGAUCCGGAAGGUCACAAAGGAAGCUGUAAUGUCUUUUAUGACCCAGCCUUGGAUGUCACAUACCACCUCUUCUGCCAUAUUCUUUGACACCCAGAUUAGCUAUGAUUCAAUAUGAAAAGAAACCAUAUGAGGCUUGGCUGACCAGUAGGUGAGGAUCAAUGAGGACCAUCUUGCAAGCUGGCUGCCAUGGUCAGUAUAGAAAGCAGAUGCACUCCUAGGAGCCACAAUUCUGCCUGAAUGCCCUCAGUCAGUACCAACAUUGGUUCCACAGGGCCAUGGAGUUGGAUUACUUCCCAGUGUUAUAGAGCCAUGAUUUUUCCUAAAUCGAGGCUCUGUACUACCUUAAACGAGACCUUCUUUGCUCCUCUGUGUUUGUGGUGUUGCUCUGAAAAACAGCAAACAUUUCUCACCCGCAGGGGUUGCUUUCAACUAGAGAACUUUGACAGAGAUCAGUCAAAGCCCAGCAUCUGUUUAACCUUCUCAUACUUAGCACUUGGGGUUAUCACAUUAAAGUCUAAAUGUUGCUAUUGCAUGUGAGUCAAUUAUAAAGGAGACAUUUCUCAGGAAAAUAAACAUCAUCUUUGGCUAGUCAAGGUACUUAAUUGCAACAGUAGAAAGCAGUUAUGCUAAUUUAAGCUCAAAAGAAACUUCCUGAUAUUGGAUCCUUUUCCACAUCAUUGGGAAAGUCAGAGAUCUGAGCUUAGAAAAUGGACCAGAACAGGAAGGUGGACAGCACUUCCCAGACAAACCAUUGCCCAGAACAAGACUGGGGAGGAUGUUAUUGCUACAUCUGCUGGGAACCACGGAGCCUCAGCUGGCAUUUCUGCUACCCCACAGCUGCCAGGGACACAGUGCACUCAUUA